AUCCGCGUGGCUCAGUUGGUAGAGCUUGGCACUUGCAAUGCCAGGGUUGCGGGUUUGAUUCCCGUGGGGGACC